rnacentral:rRNA from 1 species
UUAAAUUGAAGAGUUUGAUCAUGGCUCAGAUUGAACGCUGGCGGCAGGCCUAACACAUGCAAGUCGAACGGUAACAGGAAGAAGCUUGCUUCUUUGCUGACGAGUGGCGGACGGGUGAGUAAUGUCUGGGAAACUGCCUGAUGGAGGGGGAUAACUACUGGAAACGGUAGCUAAUACCGCAUAACGUCGCAAGACCAAAGAGGGGGACCUUCGGGCCUCUUGCCAUCGGAUGUGCCCAGAUGGGAUUAGCU